rnacentral:lncRNA from 1 species
AAGACGAGAUUAAUAUAUAGGCACUACAUCUAACUAGAUUUACCAGAUAAAAUAUUAAUGUCAACUAUAUGCUGUCCAUGCAAUCCAUUUCCAUUUUCGCAUCAGCAUCUAUUCAGAAACUCAUCAUUCCUUGAUGCGAAUUUGGGCUUAUCCAAUAAUUUCCAGUAGCUAUAAAAGUUUUUGGAUCAUGUGGCCCUUUCACUAGUUCGUCACCAUCUGAUAUAUGUGCAGAUUUCAUAUAGGCUCAAGUACUCAAUUUAAUCCCUUUUACAGUUUAUAAAAAAAUUAAUAAAGUUUGAUUUAAAUUUUUAACAGCAUAUUUCAUCGACUUUUAUUAAAAUCUACUAAAAAUUUGAUUUUUAGCUAAAUAAAAAGACAUUUACCAUGGUAUCUUAGAACUGGACCUUAAUUUAAUGGUCAACUCACAAAUGAGAGAAUUCAUUGGCAAUUUGUUCUUUUCAACUGCCAAAAAACAAAGCAGUUAAUCUAAUUGAUGACGACGACUAUCACUGAAAAGACAAAAAAGAUUGUGCAUAUUUGAAUCGAUUUCCUUUCACUGAAGCAAUUUAAUUGGAUAAACAGGAUCACUACGCUCUAUAUAAAUAGAUGGAUACAUGAUAUAUUAUAUCACUUACAGAAAAUAGAAACAAACAUCACAGAAGGAAAAUGUCUAUCUUCAAAUUCUCAAUAUGCCUUAUUUUCAUCUUGCUUUCAGCUUCAGUCAUCAGAGCUCGUCCUGUCCCGGUCCGACCGAUAAGUGUUGCCCGAGAAGCACUGGAGACUCAAAUUGAAAAGGAGAAAAUGAUGUAUCAAACUAAUCAAGAGAGGCCUGAACGUGUUAGUCCCGGAGGACCCGAUCCACACCACCAUAUUGUACACACCAAUUAUCAAAACUCUAGAAUCAAGGCUUGAUAUAUAUUAGGAUUGGAAUGGGAACUCUCGUGCAAAUAAAUCAAGAUUUUAGCUUUCCUUGUAAUAAUGCAAAUCUUUCGACUGAAAAUGGCACGUUAAAAUUUGUAUUGUGGUCACUUGUUGAUUACGUAAAUUUUCUACCGUUUUCGAGACAUGGAAGUGCAACAACAAAGUAGAUAAGAAUGUCCCAUGUUACGUGCCUUACAAAUUAUAAGAAUAUCCCAUGUUACGUGCCUUACAAAUUAUGUAAUUAAAAUAUUAGAUUUAGAAGCUGUAAAGGGUCGAGUACCCCAAAUAAACCGUAUAGAGAAAGUAACAACUUAUUUUCGAAGCCAUAAAAUGAGAUUUGAAAUCUAAAUUGGCUAGUAUGAUAGCCAUGCAAACUAAUGCAUUGAACCGUGAUUAACAUAAUUUUCAAUUUCAAUAAAAAAGAAAUAUUAUAUGACUAAAUGUUCA